GCCGGGAUGGUCUUGUGGUUAUGACGUCUGCCUUACACGCAGGAGAUCGCGAGUUCAAUACCGGCUCCUGGUA
rfam:Perkinsus marinus ATCC 50983 gcontig_1104296700840, whole genome shotgun sequence.